rnacentral:rRNA from 1 species
AAAUUGAAGAGUUUGAUCAUGGCUCAGAUUGAACGCUGGCGGCAGGCCUAACACAUGCAAGUCGAACGGUAGCACAGAGAGCUUGCUCUCGGGUGACGAGUGGCGGACGGGUGAGUAAUGUCUGGGAAACUGCCUGAUGGAGGGGGAUAACUACUGGAAACGGUGGCUAAUACCGCAUAACGUCGCAAGACCAAAGAGGGGGACCUUCGGGCCUCUUGCCAUCAGAUGUGCCCAGAUGGGAUUAGCUAGUUGGUGAGGUAACGGCUCACCAAGGCGACGAUCCCUAGCUGGUCUGAGAGGAUGACCAGCCACACUGGAACUGAGACACGGUCCAGACUCCUACGGGAGGCAGCAGUGGGGAAUAUUGCACAAUGGGCGCAAGCCUGAUGCAGCCAUGCCGCGUGUAUGAAGAAGGCCUUCGGGUUGUAAAGUACUUUCAGCGGGGAGGAAGGUGUUGUGGUUAAUAACCGCAGCAAUUGACGUUACCCGCAGAAGAAGCACCGGCUAACUCCGUGCCAGCAGCCGCGGUAAUACGGAGGGUGCAAGCGUUAAUCGGAAUUACUGGGCGUAAAGCGCACGCAGGCGGUCUGUCAAGUCGGAUGUGAAAUCCCCGGGCUCAACCUGGGAACUGCAUUCGAAACUGGCA